AGCGAACGCUGGCGGCAGGCUUAACACAUGCAAGUCGAGCGGUAAGGCCCUUUCGGGGGUACGACGAGCGGCGAACGGGUGAGUAACACGUGGGUGACCUGCCCUCCAGCUCUGGGAGUAAGCCCGGGAAACUGGGUCUAAUACUGGAUAUGACUCCACGGUGCAUGCCGUGGGGUGGAAAGCCUUGUGCGGCUGAGGAUGGGCCCGCGGCCUAUCAGCUUGUUGGUGGGGUGAUGGCCUACCAAGGCGACGACGGGUAGCCGGCCUGAGAGGGCGACCGGCCACACUGGGACUGAGACACGGCCCAGACUCCUACGGGAGGGCAGCAGUGGGGAAUCUUGCGCAAUGGGCGAAAGCCUGACGCAGCGACGCCGCGUGAGGGAUGACGGCCU
rnacentral:rRNA from 1 species